AUGGUGGGAGCGGCGGAGGGGAAGCUGGCGCUGGGAGACAUGAGGGUGCUCAAGCCAUUGGCCCACCUGCUGGUCGGGCUGGUGCUGUACUGGGUGGCCGAGGAGAUGACGGUGCCUGUGCUGGUCGACGUCACCACCGCCGCCCUCUGCCCCGGCGACGGCAGCACCUCCUGCCCGGAGGCCAUCUACCUCACCGGCCUCCACCAAACGGUUGGAGGCAUUUUCAGGGCUGUGGGAUUCACUCUGAUGGGGCAGCUCGCCGACGAGUACGGCCGGAAGCCUCUCCUCAUCCUCGCCGCUGGCACCUCCAUCAUCCCUUACAGUGUGCUUGCUCUGAGCAGCACCAAGGUCGCCGUUUACGUCUACCUUGUCACACGCACGCUCUCAUUCAUGAUCGGCCAAGGGACCAUAACCUGCCUCGCAUUGGCGUACACGGCGGAUUUGGUAGAACCGUCCAAGAGGGCGUUCGCGUUUGGCUGCAUGACCGGGAUCCUGUCGGCUUCGCACUCCCUGGGGAACGUCUUCUCCAGGUUUCUGCCCGAGCACUGGAUUUUUCAGGUCUCGGUUCUUCUGCUGGUCUGUUCCGUGGUCUACAUGAAGAUUUGUCUGGUCGAGACACUUCAGAAAGCUCCCUCUGCUUCGUGUCAGCGUUUGUCCUUGUCGUCUUUGGUUCUCGGUUUGCCGCAGCAGCGUUGGGAGUCUAUCAAGGACAACAUUAGCAUGAUCAAAAUCAACAACACACUUAAGCGAAUCACAUACAUUUCCUUCUUCUACGAGUUAGGCAUGAUUGGCAUCAGCGAUGUUCUACUGUAUUACCUGAAGCUGGUAUUUGGAUUUGACAAGAAUCAGUUCUCCGAAAUUCUAAUGGUGGUUGGAAUUGGUUCAAUCUUUUCUCAGAUACUGAUACUCCCAGUUGCUAUCCAUGCAAUUGGCGAGAAGGGAGUCCUGUGCAUUUCAAUACUUGCAUCGGUUGCUUAUGCUAUGCUGUACGGCUUGGCUUGGAGUUGGUGGGCUCCAUAUUUUGCUUCUUCACUGGGUAUCAUCUAUUGUCUGGUCAAGCCGGCUACUUAUGCGAUCAUCUCUAGGGAAGUAGUCUCAGCUGACCAGGGAAAGGCACAGGGAUUCAUCGCAACAGUGAAAUCCACAGCUAUACUGAUGGCCCCAUUGUUCAUGAGCCCUCUAACCUCCUACUUCAUUUCCGAAGAAGCACCCUUCAACUGCAAAGGUUUCAGUUUCCUUGUCGCGGGUUUCUUCUUGGCAAUAUCCUUGGCAUUUGCUUGGAUGCUUGAUCCAGAAAGCAAACACAAACUCAUUGCAGUUGCAGAUCAAGACCAGCUCGAUCAGGAAGCAGUUCAAGCACCACUGCUGGCACAACCAUGA
rnacentral:rRNA from 1 species